rnacentral:rRNA from 1 species
CUUUUCGUCUCGCGAAUGCAUCNCANGNCAUGGNUUUAAUGAUCAUGGCUCAGAUUGAACGCUAGCGGUAAUGCCUUACACAUGCAAGUCGAACGGCAGCACAGACUUCGGUCUGGUGGCGAGUGGCGAACGGGUGAGUAAUGUAUCGGAACGUGCCCAGUAGUGGGGGAUAACUACGCGAAAGCGUAGCUAAUACCGCAUACGCCCUACGGGGGAAAGCAGGGGAUCGCAAGACCUUGCACUAUUGGAGCGGCCGAUAUCGGAUUAGCUAGUUGGUGGGGUAACGGCUCACCAAGGCGACGAUCCGUAGCUGGUUUGAGAGGACGACCAGCCACACUGGGACUGAGACACGGCCCAGACUCCUACGGGAGGCAGCAGUGGGGAAUUUUGGACAAUGGGGGAAACCCUGAUCCAGCCAUCCCGCGUGUGCGAUGAAGGCCUUCGGGUUGUAAAGCACUUUUGGCAGGAAAGAAACGUCAUGGGUUAAUACCCCGUGAAACUGACGGUACCUGCAGAAUAAGCACCGGCUAACUACGUGCCAGCAGCCGCGGUAAUACGUAGGGUGCAAGCGUUAAUCGGAAUUACUGGGGCGUAAAAGCGUGCGCAGGCGGGUUCGGGACAAGAACGCAUUGUGAAAUUCCCAGAGCCUUAANCUUUGGGAACUGGCUUUUUUACCUACCCGGGCUAAAAAUGUGUUCCAAGGGAGGNGAAUUCCGGGUUGUUCCAGUGAAAUNCGGUAAAUUUCGGGNGGACACCAUUGGAAGG